UGGAUCCAGACUUUGAUCAUGGCUCAGGACGAACGCUGGCGGCGUGCUUAACACAUGCAAGUCGAACGGAGUGCUUUGGAAAGAGAUUUCGGUCAAUGGAAGAGGUUACUUAGUGGCGGACGGGUGAGUAACGCGUGAGGAACCUGCCUUUCAGAGGGGGACAACAGUUGGAAACGACUGCUAAUACCGCAUAACAUAUGUUUGUCGCAUGGCAGAUAUAUCAAAGAUUUACCGCUGAGAGAUGGCCUCGCGUCUGAUUAGCUAGUUGGUGAGGUAACGGCCCACCAAGGCGACGAUCAGUAGCCGGACUGAGAGGUUGGCCGGCCACAUUGGGACUGAGAUACGGCCCAGACUCCUACGGGAGGCAGCAGUGGGGAAUAUUGGGCAAUGGGCGCAAGCCUGACCCAGCAACGCCGCGUGAAGGAAGAAGGCUUUCGGGUUGUAAACUUCUUUUAAGAGGGAAGAGCAGAAGACGGUACCUCUUGAAUAAGCUCCGGCUAACUACGUGCCAGCAGCCGCGGUAAUACGUAGGGAGCGAGCGUUGUCCGGAUUUACUGGGUGUAAAGGGCGUGCAGCCGGGAGUGCAAGUCAGAUGUGAAAUCCCGCGGCUCAACCGCGGAACUGCAUUUGAAACUGUGCUUCUUGAGUACUGGAGAGGCAGACGGAAUCCCUAGUGUAGCGGUGAAAUGCGUAGAUAUUAGGAGGAACACCAGUGGCGAAGGCGGUCUGCUGGACAGCAACUGACGGUGAGGCGCGAAAGCGUGGGGAGCAAACAGGAUUAGAUACCCUGGUAGUCCACGCUGUAAACGAUCGAUACUAGGUGUGCGGGGACUGACCCCCUGCGUGCCGCAGUUAACACAAUAAGUAUCGCACCUGGGGAGUACGAUCGCAAGGCUGCAACUCAAAGGA
rnacentral:rRNA from 1 species